UUGCAAAAUAUUUUAUUUUUGGUAAAAUGAGACUUCAUACAGAGCUCUUAUCUACAGAACCCCUUAAAGAAACAACACACUGCCUUUUAAAAGCCCCAGCCUAUCCCUCACUCCCCUCUGUCUUGUUUAUAGCUCUCUCCUCUGUGAAGCCCUCUGAGAUCUAUGAAUGAAAAGUGCUCAUAAAAACCCCACAUGAGACUGAUUUGAGACCAGCAGUACUUAUGGAUGUUAUGUCACUCAAGCAUCCAAAAUCAGCCCCAUACUGCAGUGUCCUCAUCAGCAACUUGAUGUCUGUGUCAAUGCAUCAAAACUCUCCACAGUCCUUCCCCCACCAAUUUUGGAUGGUGUUUGGUUUUAUCCCAGCAAGGAGCAGGGAUCCUCUUUCCCUUCAUUCCCUUAGUGCACAAUCAGCCUUCCUUGGACCUUUCUGGCAGCUCUGGGCCUUUUGGAAUGGCGAGUUCUUUCCUCCCCUCCUCUUUCAGGACAGCACUGAGGGGACUCCAGUUGCUGGGAAUGUCCAUGCCAGAAAUGGCCUCUUCUCAUGGAAAUCAGGUGCUGCAGUCCCAGGUUGUGCACAAAGAGGAAGGAGAGAGGCUGCUUUUUCUUUGCCCUUUCUGGGCGGUUAAGUUUGUAGUGAUGAGCCCCAGCUAUCUGAUGUUUGACAAGAGCCAGCUCCUUCCCUAGGACUAAUUACCCAUCUCCUCCCUCAUGCCAUCUCCUUUUCAUCAGGUCCUGUUCAGCAGGUUGCACCAAAAGUAAUGCCUCCUGUUUAUUUCCACAGAAACUACAAAAGCUACAAAGAGAACAAUGACAUGAUUUGAUGGAGAAAAUCCUCAGCUACAAAGCACUAUUUUUCGAGAGAGUGAAAAAUAGCUAUCAAUCAUUAGCUAUCAAUUUUCUUCAGCGAUAAACAAGAGCCUGCAUGUCAUGCUUGUAACAAUCUGCACCGGUGUCACUGUUGCCAUUACUGAAGCACACCACCCACCACCUCACUGCGCUUACAUCCACCAUUUGGUCUCCAUAAACGUUAAGCAAGCACCAAUGAAUGUUGGUGGGUACAAGUUUUUCUGCAUAGAGGAAUUUGCAGUUCCACACCUUUGCUUCAAAUGCACUUCUAUGUUAGACACCAUUUUGUCAGACUGCCCCUCUGCUGCCAUCUGCCACACGGCAACAAAAUAUGAUGGGAUAUAGGCAGGAAGGUUCAUCCUCCACUGCCAUCCCACCAACACCCUCCUCUGACAUCAUGGGCCAACAACAUCAUAAGAUGCAUUACUUGUGGAGCAGCCUUCAUACAUGCUUAUCUUGACACUUUGAAGUUUUCACAGAUUAGGUUGCCAAAAAGGUGGCUUUGACACAAAUGUGGCAGCCGAGGGCUGUAUUUAUCUGUGCUGAUCCAUGGCACAUGGGUACUGAUGACACUUCCCAGUUGCUGGGAAAAGGGAAGUCCUGAGCUGAGCUGGAGGAGUAUGAGAGGGGUAGAGGGAUGAAUCCAUUCCAGGGGACACAAAGGGUUCACACUUACUCACUCCUGGUGGUAUAUUUUUAGAUGGCCUUUGCAGGAGUUUGCAAAUCAUUUAUUUUUUUAGAUUUGACUCAGCGGAGAUUUUAGGGGUGGUGGUGUCAUCAACACAGGCACUGUGGUUUUGCAGCAUUACAGUUAUGAAGGCUCAUGUCUUCAUGUUUUAACCAUGCAGCACAACACUGCAGAGGCCACAGUCAGGCUCGUGGUUUGGAUGCUGGAGGAAAAAGCAAACUAUUGGAAAGCAAGUAGCACACGCUGUGCAAUGCUGUGGUCAACCACUUCAGAGGUAGUUACUCUUUUUAAAAUGACUUCCUUAUUCAUAGAAUAGAAUCACAGAAUUGUUUGGGUUGGAAGGGACCUUUAAAAGUCAUCUAGUCCAGCUCCUCUGCAAUGAACAGGGGCACCUACAGCUAGAGGAGGUUGCUCAGUCACGGCCAGCCUGACCUCGACUGUCUCCAGGGAUGGGGGACCAACCACAUCUGGGUUGAACAGCCCCAGCUCUCUCAGCCUGCCUUCAUAGGAGAGGUGUUCCAUCCCUUGGAUCAUUUUUGUGGCCCUCCUCUGGAUGUGCUCCAACAGGUCCAUGUCUCUCCUGUACUGAGGACUCCACAUCUGGACACAGUACUCCACGUGAGGCAUCACAAGUGCAGAGUAGAGGGCAGGAUCACCUCCCUCGUCCUGCUGGCCACGUUUCUUUUGACACAGUCCAGGAUACGGUUGUCUUUAUGGGCUGUGAGAGUACAUUGCUGGCUUAUGUCCAGCUUGCCAUCCACCGGUAGAUUGUAUUGGAUAUCUGCAGGAUGAAGACUCCACACUGCAGACUCUGGUCUUGAUAUGAUAGAGUUUAAAAUGGUCUGUUAAUACUCAGGGAGAAAGGUAUCACACAUUUCAAAGGAGAAGGAACUGACUCUGUUCCCUUUUAUGCACCUUCAGGAAGUGUUUGCUGAAUACAUAUGAGUAGGAAUAUUAAUAUUUUUGAUUCAAAGUUGUUUGAAAAUGCCAUUUUGGUGCACAGAAGGGUGCAUGCUGUGCAUGUGCGUCCUUUUCACACCUGGCAGUGUUUGAAGCAAACUAUAUGCAUGUAGAAAAUGUAUGCACACACUGUAUUGCACACUGAGGCACUGAGACGUACACUAUAUGGUAUGUUAUAUGUAUUAUAUGUGUGGUACCUACACCAACUGUUUUGGAGAAAGUCAGUGCUUUUGCCCAUACAGUUCCCAAACAAUGGGAACAUGCAGGAAGUUGUGUUCCUUGAGUUGGAGGGGACCCAUAAGGAUCAUCACGUCCAAAUGUGCUUUCCUGCAUGCUCUGGGCUUCCAGCACCAAGCCUCUCUCCUGUAUUGCUGGUGAAUAUUUCUAGGGUGAAAGUGGUGCAUGCUGGUUGUGCCUGCAAUGUAGUGCAUGAUACAACGUGAAGGAUAUGUACAGUUCACUGUGCACCAUGCACAUAAUGCCAAGACUGUGCACUGUGCACCAUCCCUGCAGUGCUGAGACCGUGCGCUGUGCAUCCUGCAAUAAGCACCUCGAGGAUCACAUACACAUGCACUGGUAUACACGUGAACAUACACAUGAUUUCCUCUCAGCACCUCAUGCACUAUACAUACCAUGUGCUCUAAGCACCGGAUGCACCAUAUACAUCAUGUCCUAUGAUCAUCUCAUGCACCAUGCACAGCAUGCACUGUGCACCUUGAGCACCACACAUACAACUUCCUCUGUACCCCCAAUGCACAAUGCACAGCACGCACUGUGUGCACUCUGUGCAGUACAUGUAUCAUGUUCCCUGUGGCACCCCUUCCACCACAUGCAUCACAUUCUCCGGGCACUCUGUGUACCACACAGACCAUGCACUCAGCACUCUGCCCAUCAUGCACACAGUGCACCCCAUGCACACCAAGCACUCAGAGCACCCUCUGCAACAUGCUCACCAUGCACUGAGCACCCCGUGCACCAUACAGAGAAUGUACUCUGAGCACCCAGAGUACACUCUAUGCACACGUAGCAUUUUGAGCACCCUGUGCACCAUGCACACCACGCACUUAGCAAUCCAUGCACCACGCACACAAUGCGCUAAGCAACCUGUGCACCGUGCACACCAUGCAUUCUGAGCACCCUGUGCACCAUAAACACCAUGCACGGUACACCCUGCGCACCCUGAGCAUCCCAUGCACCAAAUGCAUGCUGCACUCCACGCACUGUGCACACCAUGCAUUCCUAGUGUCCUGUGCACCAUGCACGCUAUGCACAGUGCAUUCUAUGCGCCAUGUACACUGAGCACACAGAGUACCCUGUGCACCAUGCACGUUAUACACACCAUGCACUGAGCCCCCUGUGCACAAUGCCCACCUUGCCCUUACACCAUGCCCUCCACGCAUCAUGCC
ensembl:lncRNA